CGCCAGCUGACGAGCCCAAAACAGGACGAAAUGCGCAUCCUGGAU
rnacentral:hammerhead_ribozyme from 1 species